UUGUAUUUCUACAUUUGUGCAUAACUUUGUCCAUUGUGGUUAGGCUUAACGCACUGUGGGGAUAGAUCAUCCUGAAAACAUACAAGCACAAAGUACUCGAUCCAUGCAUGACCAUUUUUCCGUAGGAACGCAAACGAGAGCAAGGGGGAGGGCGGUGGACAUUGCGUGUGUGUCCCACUGACCUAGAAACCGGCUGCUCCGUAAACACGGUGCGUGCGCGCACUAGGUCCAACGCUGUGCUGUAAAAUAGGUCAGUGGGGCGGCAACGGUGUGUGCGUGCGUGCGUGCGCGGGUGUGUGUCUGUGAUAGAGUGCGUCUGAGCAAGUGGGGAGGAAUUAUAGUGCCUACCAAAAAUAGUGUGCUCGGGUGAGGGAGGAGUUAAGGAUUCCAAUUGGGGGACGAGACAGGAAUUUACCAGCACUGCGGAGGUACGAAAAAAGAGCGAAUACGUCAGCAUCAGAAUAUUAGAUUAAACUGGGCUAUGAAUCACUCCAGUGAUGCACUGAUACACAUCAAGUACACUAGCAUUUUCCUGAAACGCAAUGAGAAAAGGGAGGAAGAUUUCAGAAAUAGAGAUUCAAGGAUUGGCCAGCUUUUGUGCUAUCACUCAUCAGCUACAAAACGGAGAGCGAGGUACUGCACAGUCCAGACUGCAGGUUGUGGCUCGAAGCCAAAUUGCCAUCACAGUCGAGGAUCAUUUUAGGACAUGCCGAGCUAAAUUCAGACACCUAAGUUACUAUAAAUAUAGUGCCUGUAAACCUUUAUUUAAUGGUAAAUUACUGACUUAGCACAGGAAUGAUUUUCAAAAAAUAAAGAGGAAGACAUAACAGUCUACCUGCACAUUUGUGCUAUUGGUUCCGCCAGCUUGUUUACUUUUCCUCUUCCGAGAAUAAGCGUCCAGAAUUCAGAAAAAAAAGAGCUUGUGGUCCGGUCAAACACACAGUUAUGCACCGUUCCACAUGGAUGGUGUUUACAACUGGAAACCUCCCUGCAUGUAUUCUCCCAGUCACAUGUAGGCAAAACUGUUCCGCCUCCAGCCUUCCUUCCAAACCUAAAGGCCAAGUAGGCCAGUAAGACUGUGAGGUGGUGUGUUGGCUAGACUCUUAAUUACAGAGGUUAAUGCUCAAAACACAACAGCUCCUACGAAAAAUUAAGUUGACACCAACUUGUCAGAGACUGGGAUACUCUUCAGAAUGGCUGACCGCUUGCGUGCAUGUCAUUAGGGGGGGGGUUUCUGACACCAGAAUGUUCUUUUUUUUGGUUUUCAGACUGAUGCUUAGUAUUGUGAGAAGUUUGGAAGCAAUGUGAGGCAGUUUCAGAUUCCUUGCAUUGCUGAACGGGGAGUGGUGAAAUUGUUAAGGGGCAAAGUGUACUUAGUUUGGGAGUAGGUCAGCUUUUUAUGAGCCGAGCACGCAACGGGUAUUGCAUCACAAUUAGUUAUGAUAAAUGAUUAAACAUCAGACUGCCGGUCUUCCUCGUGACUAAACCUCUCUUUCCCAACCAAAAGUUUUACACUGUACGAUAACCUACGAGACACGCACUCGCGUUACAAGGAUUUAAUUAAUUAUUAUUUAAUAAUCGCUGUUACUAUUAGUCUUCCGUGACGUGAUCAUUGAACAGCCACGCGCCCGUCUCUGUUCGAACAUCGCGCAAACCAAACAACCCCUCGCGUGGCAUCGUAACGCUUCGUCCUAUUUUACAACCAUACGCGUUGUAAGAAACGCUGACUUGCAACUAACUUAUAGAAACGCAUAGGAACGGCGCCUCCGCAAUGCACAGACAUUAACUGACCCCUCAGCCACUCUCGCGUUCGGAUUUCGUAAUGAUCACCACCUCCCCCCACGCCACGACCGUCUCGCCUUGACAUUGAAUGUGAAUACGUAUGCGACGCACAAUGCGAGAUAAUCUGUUGCCGCCUUAGUUCACGACACCCCAAAAUGCACAAUAAAGAAAAAAAAUCGUUGUAAACCGAACAAUUCGUCAGCCAGCGAAUGCGUUUGAGAGGCACGCCGACCCCGAGUCCGUUUCCAUGUGAACAAUAACAUGCCCUGACCACGUUGCAAGGAGAGAAACAUGCACAGACCAAGCACAAUUUAAGAGCAAAACCGGCAGAAAAAAAACAUUAGAGGACAACACGAGAUGGGCCUUUCCCCAGGAGGAAGCAUUAUUAUGGGAUACACUCACGCUUGCGACGCAGAGUGAUGCGGCUGUCAGUCUCUGAGCUUUCUUGGUCUUUCAGACCUCUGGGAUGGAUGAGAAAAGAGCGGGCUAGCAUGCUGCUGGAUGUUAAUAUGGACACCGU